AAGUAUUUCCACCCACCCACAUCUCUUAUGUGUCCAUUAGUCCAGUGGAUGUGGUUGUGAUAGGAGUGAUUCCUGUGUCUGUAAAUCUGUGCGAUUGCACAAGCUGAGUUGGAUUGAGUCUUGCACUGAAGGUCAAACUCCAUUAACAAACUCCAAACAUGGUGCUAUGGAAAUGAGUGUGGUAUAAUAUCUACAAGUUGGCACAAUUGUAAGAAAAAGUAGGUUUACG